rnacentral:RNase_P_RNA from 1 species
UGAGCGCGCCGGACGGCCGCGGGUACCGAGCGAUCGGGACCUGAGGAAAGUCCGGGCUCCACACGGCGAGGGUGCCAGCUAACGGCUGGUCGGGGUAACCCGAAGGAAAGUGCCACAGAAACAAACCGCCGUCAUGCUCUCACGAGCGUUGACGGUAAGGGUGAAAUGGUGCGGUAAGAGCGCACCGGCGCGGGCGAAAGCCUGCGGCCGGGCAAACCCCACCCGGAGCAAGACAGUUGAGGCCGCCGCCAUUGCGCGGCGCGGGCAGCCGGCCCGAUCUCACAGCACGUCGCACGAGGCAUCCGGUGACGGAUGUCCACAGAGAGAUGGUCGUCGCCGCCUUCGGGCGGUUACAGAACCCGGCUUACAGGCGCGCCUCAGCGG